rnacentral:piRNA from 1 species
AUGAAAAGAAGUCUUGAACUGAUU